rnacentral:rRNA from 1 species
GCCAGACUCCUACGGGAGGCAGCAGUGGGGGAUAUUGCACAAUGGGGGGAACCCUGAUGCAGCAACGCCGCGUGAGUGAAGAAGCCAUUCGUGAUGUAAAGCUCUAUCAGCAGGGAAGAAAAUGACGGUACCUGAGUAAGAAGCCCCGGCUAACUACGUGCCAGCAGCCGCGGUAAUACGUAGGGGGCAAGCGUUAUCCGGAUUUACUGGGUGUAAAGGGAGCGUAGACGGCCAGACAAGUCUGAAGUGAAAAUCCAGCGCUUAACGUUGGAAGUGCUUUGGAAACUGCCGGGCUGGAGUGCAGGAGGGGCAGGCGGAAUUCCUAGUGUAGCGGUGAAAUGCGUAGAUAUUAGGAGGAACACCAGUGGCGAAGGCGGCCUGCUGGACUGCAACUGACGUUGAGGCUCGAAGGCGUGGGGAGCAAACAGGAUUAGAUACCCCAGUAA